GAAUUCGCCCUUAGAGUUUGAUCCUGGCUCAGGACGAACGCUGGCGGCGCGCCUAACACAUGCAAGUCGAACGAGAGAGAGGGAGCUUGCUUCCUCAAUCGAGUGGCGAACGGGUGAGUAACGCGUGAGGAACCUGCCUCAAAGAGGGGGACAACAGUUGGAAACGACUGCUAAUACCGCAUAAGCCCACGACCCGGCAUCGGGAAGAGGGAAAAGGAGCAAUCCGCUUUGAGAUGGCCUCGCGUCCGAUUAGCUAGUUGGUGAGGUAACGGCCCACCAAGGCGACGAUCGGUAGCCGGACUGAGAGGUUGAACGGCCACAUUGGGACUGAGACACGGCCCAGACUCCUACGGGAGGCAGCAGUGGGGAAUAUUGCACAAUGGGGGAAACCCUGAUGCAGCGACGCCGCGUGGAGGAAGAAGGUCUUCGGAUUGUAAACUCCUGUUGUUGAGGAAGAUAAUGACGGUACUCAACAAGGAAGUGACGGCUAACUACGUGCCAGCAGCCGCGGUAAAACGUAGGUCACAAGCGUUGUCCGGAAUUACUGGGUGUAAAGGGAGCGCAGGCGGGAAGACAAGUUGGAAGUGAAAUCCAUGGGCUCAACCCAUGAACUGCUUUCAAAACUGUUUUUCUUGAGUAGUGCAGAGGUAGGCGGAAUUCCCGGUGUAGCGGUGGAAUGCGUAGAUAUCGGGAGGAACACCAGUGGCGAAGGCGGCCUACUGGGCACCAACUGACGCUGAGGCUCGAAAGUGUGGGUAGCAAACAGGAUUAGAUACCCUGGUAGUCCACACUGUAAACGAUGAUUACUAGGUGUUGGAGGAUUGACCCCUUCAGUUGCCGCAGUUAACACGAUAAGUAAUCCACAUGGGGAGUACGACGGCAAGGUUGAAACUCAAAGGAAUUGACGGGGGCCCGCACAAGCAGUGGAGUAUGUGGUUUAAUUCGACGCAACGCGAAGAACCUUACCAAGUCUUGACAUCCUGCGACGCACAUAGAAAUAUGUUUUUCAUUCGGGACGCAGAGACAGGUGGUGCAUGGUAGUCGUCAGCUCGUGUCGUGAGAUGUCGGGUUAAGUCCCAUAACGAGCGCAACCCCUACCGUUAGUUGCCAUCAGGUCAAGCUGGGCACUCUGGCGGGACUGCCGGUGUAAGCCGAGAGGAAGGUGGGGAUGACGUCAAAUCAGCACGGCCCUUACGUCCGGGGCUACACACGUGUUACAAUGGUAGGUACAGAGGGUCGCUACCCCGCGAGGGGAUGCCAAUCUCGAAAGCCUAUCUCAGUUCGGAUUGGAGGCUGAAACCCGCCUCCAUGAAGUUGGAUUCGCUAGUAAUCGCGCAUCAGCCAUGGCGCGGUGAAUACGUUCCCGGGCCUUGCACUCACCGCCCGUCA
rnacentral:rRNA from 1 species